rnacentral:rRNA from 1 species
AUUGAACGCUGGCGGCAGGCCUAACACAUGCAAGUCGAACGAGUGGCGGACGGGUGAGUAAUGUCUGGGAAACUGCCUGAGGGAGGGGGAUAACUACUGGAAACGGUAGCUAAUACCGCAUACAAUCGGAUGUGCCCAGAUGUGAUUAGCUAGUAGGGGGGUGAAAGGCUCACCUAGGCGACGAUCCCUAGCUGGUCUAAGAGGAGAACCAGCCACACUGGAAAUGAGACACGUUCCAGACUCCGAAGUGAGGCAGCAGUGGGGAAUAUUGCACAAUGUGCGCAAGCCUGAUGCAGCCAUGCCGCGUGUAUUAAGAAGGCCUUCGGGUUGUAAAGUACUUUCAGCGGUGAGGCGUUACCCGCAGAAGAAGCACCGGCUAACUCCGUGCCAGCAGCCGCGGUAAUUC